GGCCUAACACAUGCAAGUCGAGCGAGAAAGGGGAAACCCAGAUAAAGCGGCGCACGGGUGAGUAACACGUAGGUAAUUUACCCCCAGGUGGUGGAUAACCUUCCGAAAGGAGGGCUAAUACAGCAUAAGACCACGUCUUCGCAAGGAGAUGAGGUCAAAGCCGGCCUCUUCAUGAAAGCUGGCGCCGAGGGAUGAGCCUGCGGCCCAUCACGGUAGUUGGUAGGGUAAUGGCCUACCAAGCCUAAGACGGGUAGCUGGUCUGAGAGGAUGAUCAGCCACACUGGGACUGAGACACGGCCCAGACUCCUACGGGAGGCAGCAGUGGGGAAUAUUGGACAAUGGGCGAAAGCCUGAUCCAGCAAUGCCGCGUGAGUGAUGAAGGCCUUAGGGUUGUAAAGCUCUUUUACCCGGGAUGAUAAUGACAGUACCGGGAGAAUAAGCCCCGGCUAACUCCGUGCCAGCAGCCGCGGUAAU
rnacentral:rRNA from 1 species